UCCUGGCUCAGGAUGAACGCUGGCGGCGUGCCUAACACAUGCAAGUCGAACGGAGCUAUAACGGAACAAGGCUUCGGCCGAGGGAAGACUUAGCUUAGUGGCGGACGGGUGAGUAACGCGUGAGUAACCUGCCUUUCAGAGGGGGAUAACGUCCGGAAACGGACGCUAAUACCGCAUAACGUAUCAUUGUCGCAUGGCAGAGAUACCAAAGAUUUUAUCGCUGAGAGAUGGACUCGCGUCUGAUUAGAUAGUUGGUGAGGUAACGGCCCACCAAGUCGACGAUCAGUAGCCGGACUGAGAGGUUGAACGGCCACAUUGGGACUGAGACACGGCCCAGACUCCUACGGGAGGCAGCAGUGGGGAAUAUUGCACAAUGGGCGCAAGCCUGAAUGCAGCAACGCCGCGUGAGGGAGGACGGUUUUCGGAUUGUAAACCUCUGUCUUUGGUGACGAAGAAGUGACGGUAGCCAAGGAGGAAGCCACGGCUAACUACGUGCCAGCAGCGGC
rnacentral:rRNA from 1 species